UGUAGUCAUAUGCUUGUCUCAAAGAUUAAGCCAUGCAUGUCUAAGUAUAACGAAAUUAUACCAGUGAAACUGCGAAUGGCUCAUUAAAUCAGUUAUAGUUUAUUUGAUGAUUCCUUACUACUUGGAUAACCGUGGUAAUUCUAGAGCUAAUACAUGCCAAAAGCCCUGACGCAAGAAGGGGUGUGUUUAUUAGAUAAAAAAACCAAUGCCCUUUUGGGCUCCUUGGUGGAUCAUGAUAACCUUACUUAGUGCAUGGCCUUGUGCUGGCACAGCAUCAUUCAAAUACCUGCCCUAUCAAGUUUUGAUGUGAGGGUAGUGUCCUUACAUGCUUUUGACGGGUAACGGGGAAUUAGGGUUCGACUCCGGAGAGGGAGCCUGAGAAACGGCUACCACAUCCAAGGAAGGCAGCAGGCGCGCAAAUUACCCAAUCCCAACACGGGGAGGUAGUGACAAGAAGUACCGAUGCAGGGCCCACCAGGGUCUUGUAUUUGGAUGGCAAACAAUUUAAACCCAUCUGCGUUAUCAACUGGAGGGCAAGUCUGGUGCCAGCAGCCGCGGUAAUUCCAGCUCCAAUAGCGUAU
rnacentral:rRNA from 1 species